AUAUUUUAAAAUAAUUAAUAUUUCCUUGAUAUCUUCAAUAUCAUGCUCUAAUAAGCUAUUAAAAUA
rnacentral:tRNA from 1 species